AUGCUCCAGACCCACAUCACAUGGAUCAGACCCACCUGGCAUACACCAGACCCACAUCACAUGGAUCAGACCCACCUGGCAUACACCAGACCCACAUCACAUGGAUCAGACCCACCUGGCAUACACCAGACCCACAUCACAUGGAUCAGACCCACCUGGCAUACACCAGACCCACAUCACAUGGAUCAGACCCACCUCGCAUGCACCAGACCCUCCUUGCAUGCACCAGACCCACGUCACAUGGAUCAGACCUUCCCCACAUGCAUCAGACCCACCUCACAUGCACCAGACCCUCUCUGCAUGCACCAGACCCUCUCUGCAUGCUCCAGACCCACAUCACAUGGAUCAGACCCACCUGGCAUACACCAGACCCACAUCACAUGGAUCAGACACUGUCCACAUGCACCAGACCCUCCUUGCAUGCACCAGACCCACAUGACAUGGAUCAGACCCACCUCACAUGCACCAGCCCCUCUCUGCAUGCACCAGACCCACAUCAUGUGGAUCGGACCCUCCCUCCGUGCUCCAGACCCACCUUGCAUGCACCAGACCCACAUCACAUGGAUAAGACCCUCUUUGCAUGCACCAGACCCACAUGACAUGGAUCAGACCCACCUCACAUGCACCAGACCCUCUCUGCAUGCACCAGACCCACAUCACGUGGAUCAGACCCUCCCUCCGGGCUCCAGACCCACUUCCCAUGCUCCAGACCCUCUUUGCAUGCACCAGACCCACAUCACAUGGAUUAGACCCUCUUUGCAUGCACCAGACCCACAUGACAUGGAUCAAACCCACCUCGCAUGCACCAGACCCUCUCUGCAUGCACCAGACCCACAUCACGUGGAUCAGACCCUCCCUCCGGGCUCCAGACCCACUUCCCAUGCUCCAGACCCUCUUUGCAUGCACCAGACCCACAUCACAUGGAUUAGACCCUCUUUGCAUGCACCAGACCCACAUGACAUGGAUCAAACCCACCUCGCAUGCACCAGACCCUCUCUGCAUGCACCAGACCCACAUCACACAGAUCAGACCCUCCCUGUGUGCUCCAGACCCACCUCCCGUGCUCCAGACCCUCCCUGCACCCCCCAGCCCCACACCGUGCUCCCACAGCACCCAAACACCUCUCCCAGCACCGUGGGGCGUUGCAGGGGCCGGAGCUGCUCUGCCAUUGAGGUUUUAUUAUUUAACGGCUUAACGCUCCCAUCUCCAAAGGGAUAUGGAAAACACAGGAGCUGGUUGAUGAGCCGGGUGCUCCUUUUCUCUCCUCCCCGCAAGGUCAGUGCUGCCUGGUUUGUCGCACAGAACCCGCUGCUGUUGCCUUUGUGGUGCUUAUAA
rnacentral:lncRNA from 1 species